rnacentral:rRNA from 1 species
GGGCGUAAGCGCGCGCAGGCGGUUUCUUAAGUCUGAUGUGAAAGCCCACGGCUCAACCGGGGAGGGGCAUUGGAAACUGGCGAACUUGAGUGCGGAAGAGAGUGGCGGAAUUCCACGUGUAGCGGUGAAAUGCGUAGAGAUGUGAAGGAACACCAGUGGCGAAGGCGGCUUUUUGGUCUGUAACUGACGCUGAGGCGCGAAAGCGUGGGGAGCAAACAGGAUUAGAUACCCUGGUAGUCCACGCCGUAAACGAUGACUGCUAGGCGU